rnacentral:lncRNA from 1 species
CUCGAGUGAUGGGUAGCAGCGGUGCAAGCGCAAAGGAUUCGGCAGUAAGUAAGAAGAAACUACUUGGGUCUCCCCAAUGCAGAUUCGCUGGUUUCUUGGCUCAUCGGUGUGCGUGAGGACUUGGUUUCCUCUCUAAGAAAUAGUUUCUCUCUCUCCAUAAUAAAUCUACUACCAUAUCAGCAAAUUGCUUAGUUGGCAUGAUAAUUAAGAGGGAUAGAAACUAUCAUCAAUGUCCCAUUGGGACUGCCCUAAGCAUCAUCUAUACAUAAUUAUUUCAUUCAAUUUAAUAUAAUCCAAGCUGAGAUAUAAACUGUCUGAUGACAAAUAAUAGUCAAAAUUCAAUCGUACCUAUCUAAUUUAAAUUCACAUAAAUGAUCUUGGAAUCUAAAUGAACAAUCAAAAGAAAGAUAAAGAUAACAAAACCCAUGGAACAAGGAAAUACCUUCAAAAUACAUAUCAUUCUAGCAAGUAAAUUGUAACAUAUAUGUGAGCUACAUAUUGCUCUACCAUUCUCCAUACAUCUAUAUUAAGAAGGUUACAAUAUUUUUUUCCCUAAAUUAGAGUUCAGCGCUUGAGCCCUAGCUACAAUGCAUCACCAUGGAGCAAGAACAUAUCUUUCUAGACUUGUAGGUUCGCU